UACGGAGGGUGCGAGCGUUGUUCGGAAUCACUGGGCGUAAAGCGCGUGUAGGCGGCCCACUAAGUCUGAUGUGAAAGCCCGGGGCUCACCCCCGGAAGUGCAUUGGAAACUGGUGGACUCGAGUCCCGGAGAGGAGAGUGGAAUUCCUGGUGUAGCGGUGAAAUGCGUAGAUAUCAGGAGGAACACCGGUGGCGAAGGCGACUUUUUGGCCUGUAACUGACGCUGAGGCGCGAAAGCGUGGGGAGCAAACAGG
rnacentral:rRNA from 1 species